rnacentral:rRNA from 1 species
AACGAACGCUGGCGGCGCGCCUAACACAUGCAAGUCGAACGGCAGCGGACCUUCGGGUGCCGGCGAGUGGCGAACGGGUGAGUAAUAUAUCGGAACGUACCUUUCAGUGGGGGAUAACGUAGCGAAAGUUACGCUAAUACCGCAUAUUCUGUGAGCAGGAAAGCAGGGGAUCGCAAGACCUUGCGCUGAUUGAGCGGCCGAUAUCAGAUUAGCUAGUUGGUGAGGUAAAGGCUCACCAAGGCGACGAUCUGUAGCGGGUCUGAGAGGAUGAUCCGCCACACUGGAACUGAGACACGGUCCAGACUCCUACGGGAGGCAGCAGUGGGGAAUUUUGGACAAUGGGCGCAAGCCUGAUCCAGCCAUGCCGCGUGAGUGAAGAAGGCCU